AUCGAACGCUGGCGGCAUGCUUUACACAUGCAAGUCGAACGGCAGCGCAGUCUUAGGUUUCUCUUCCGGGUGCGGACUGGUGAGUGAUGCAUGAGUACAUCCGAAUCUAUUUUUUCUUGCCCGGUGACGUACGGAUUCUUACGCCAUUACACCUUACGAUGUACGCGUGAGAGCAGAAGAUCUUCCGCUCUUGCGGCGUUGGAUGUCCCGAUGUCGGAUUAGCUAGUUGGUGGGGUAAAGGCCCAACAAGGCGACGAUCCGUAGCUGGUCUGAGAGGACGAUCAGCCACACUGGAACUGAGACACGGUCCAGACUCCUACGGGAGGCAGCAGUGGGGAAUAUUGGACAAUGGGGGCAAGCCUGAUCCAGCCAUGCCGCGUGGGGGAAGAAGGCCUUCGGGUUGUAAAGCGCUUUUGUUGGGGAAGAAAAGCUGUAGGCUAAUACCCCGGGGGGAUGACGGUACCGGAAGAAUAAGCACCGGCUAACUACGUG
rnacentral:rRNA from 1 species